AACGAACGCUGGCGGCAUGCCUAACACAUGCAAGUCGAACGAGACCUUCGGGUCUAGUGGCGCACGGGUGCGUAACGCGUGGGAAUCUGCCCUUGGGUUCGGAAUAACAGUUAGAAAUGACUGCUAAUACCGGAUGAUGUCUUCGGACCAAAGAUUUAUCGCCCAGGGAUGAGCCCGCGUAGGAUUAGCUAGUUGGUGGGGUAAAGGCCUACCAAGGCGACGAUCCUUAGCUGGUCUGAGAGGAUGAUCAGCCACACUGGGACUGAGACACGGCCCAGACUCCUACGGGAGGCAGCAGUGGGGAAUAUUGGACAAUGGGCGAAAGCCUGAUCCAGCAAUGCCGCGUGAGUGAUGAAGGCCUUAGGGUUGUAAAGCUCUUUUACCCGGGAUGAUAAUGACAGUACCGGGAGAAUAAGCCCCCGGCUAACCUCCGUGCCAGCAGCCGCGGUAAU
rnacentral:rRNA from 1 species